rnacentral:rRNA from 1 species
GUGGGGAAUCUUGCGCAAUGCACGAAAGUGUGACGCAGCAACGCCGCGUGAGGGAAGAAGGCCUUCGGGUUGUAAACCUCUUUCAGUUGGGACGAAGCUCCGUGGGUUAAUAGCUCACUGGAGUGACGGUACCUUCAGAAGAAGCCCCGGCUAACUACGUGCCAGCAGCCGCGGUAAUACGUAGGGGGCUAGCGUUGUCCGGAAUCAUUGGGCGUAAAGAGCGUGUAGGCGGUUCGGUAAGUCCGCUGUGAAAGUCGGGGGCUCAACCCUCGAAUGCCGGUGGAUACUGUCGGGCUAGAGUGCGGAAGAGGCGAGUGGAAUUCCUGGUGUAGCGGUGAAAUGCGCAGAUAUCAGGAGGAACACCAAUUGCGAAGGCAGCUCGCUGGGACGUUACUGACGCUGAGACGCGAAAGCGUGGGAAGCAAACAGGAUUAGAUACCCUGGUAGUCCACGCCGUAAACGAUGGGCACUAGGUGUGGGGGGUGUCGACUCCCUCCGUGCCGAAGCUAACGCAUUAAGUGCCCCGCCUGGGGAGUACGGCCGCAAGGC